GCCCGGAUGGCGGAAGCGGUAGACGCACGAGGCUUAAACCCUCGGGCCGGCAACGGCGUGUGGGUUCGAGUCCCACUCCGGGCA
rnacentral:tRNA from 1 species